rnacentral:rRNA from 1 species
CUCGACCUCAGAUCAGACAAGGCUACCCGCUGAAUUUAAGCAUAUUAAUAAGCGGAGGAAAAGAAACUAACAAGGAUUCCCCCAGUAACGGCGAGUGAAGCGGGAUCAGCUCAAAUUUAAAAUCUCCGUUGCUUGCAACGGCGAAUUGUAGUUUCGAGAAGCGCUUUCUAGGUGGGCCGGCUGCGCCUAAGUUGCUUGGAACAGCACGUCAUAGAGGGUGACAACCCCGUCUGUGGCGUAGGCGGCCGCUGACGAUGUGCUUUCGAAGAGUCGGGUUGUUUGGGAAUGCAGCCCAAAAUGGGUGGUAAACUCCAUCUAAAGCUAAAUAUUGGCACGAGACCGAUAGCGAACAAGUACCGUGAGGGAAAGAUGAAAAGGACUUUGGAAAGAGAGUUAAAAAGUACGUGAAACCGUUAAAAGGGAAACGAAUGGAGCUAGCAAUGCACCCUGUGAGAUUCAGCCGGUCGGUGGUCCGGGCGUGUGGUUUGCAGAUCUGAAUCGACUGUGGCCACACGCUUCUGGCUUCCUGCCGUCGCACUUCCCGCGGGUGCGCGUCAACAUGGGUUGGGACCGGGUCUGAAAGGCACCGGCAAGGUAGGUCCGCACCUUCGGGUUCGUACUGUUCUAGGCCGGCGUUUUCGCGGCCCGUGCCUGACCGAGGAGUUUGCAGCACAUGCCUCGUUUGGCUGGAGUCCCGUCCUGCCGGUUGGCUGUCGACUGUGGUGGACUGCGUGCAGUGCACCGCGACUGCAGCCGGUCGCUGGGGCGGUGACUUCGCACGAUGUGCUUAGGAUGUUGGCGGUCAUAUGGCUUCAUCCGACCCGUCUUGAAACACGGACCAAGGAGUCUACCAUAUGCGCAAGUCUUUGGGUGAUUGAAACCCGCGGGCGCAAUGAAAGUGAAGGCGGCUUCGGCCUGCCGAGGUGAGAACCUCCCCUUAUCGGGGUGGCACAUCAUCGACCGACCUGUUCUACUCUUAGGAAGGUUUGAGUAAGAGCGCAUUUGUUGGGACCCGAAAGAUGGUGAACUAUGCCUGAAUAGGGUGAAGCCAGAGGAAACUCUGGUGGAGGCUCGUAGCGAUUCUGACGUGCAAAUCGAUCGUCAAAUUUGGGUAUAGGGGCGAAAGACUAAUCGAACUGUCUAGUAGCUGGUUCCCUCCGAAGUUUCCCUCAGGAUAGCAGGAGCUCAUUGCAGUUUUAUCAGGUAAAGCGAAUGAUUAGAGGUCUUAGGGUUAAAACAACCUUAACCUAUUCUCAAACUUUAAAUUGGUAAGAAGUCCGACUUGCUCGAUUGAAGCCGGACGUGGAAUGCGAGUUCCUAGUGGGCCAUUUUUGGUAAGCAGAACUGGCGAUGCGGGAUGAACCGAACGCCGAGUUAAGGUGCCAAAGUCGACGCUCAUCAGACCCCACAAAAGGUGUUGGUUGCUAUAGACAGCAGGACGGUGGCCAUGGAAGUCGGAAUCCGCUAAGGAGUGUGUAACAACUCACCUGCCGAAGCAACUAGCCCUGAAAAUGGAUGGCGCUCAAGCGUCGCACCUAUACUCGGCCGUUGGGGCAAACGCCAAGCCCCGACGAGUAGGAGGGCGUGGGGGUCGUGACGCAGCCUUUGGCGUGAGCCUGGGUGAAACGGCCUCUAGUGCAGAUCUUGGUGGUAGUAGCAAAUAUUCAAAUGAGAGCUUUGAAGACCGAAGUGGAGAAAGGUUCCAUGUGAACAGCAGUUGGACAUGGGUUAGUCGAUCCUAAGAGAUAGGGAAACUCCGUUUGAAAGUGCCCAAUUGCGGGCCGCCUAUCGAAAGGGAAUCGGGUUAAUAUUCCCGAACCGGAACACGGAUAUCGCCACCUAGUGGCGGAUGCGGUA